ACGUGUGCAACCUGCCUUUAUCUGGGGGAUAGCCUUUCUAAAGGAAGAUUAAUACCCCAUAAUAUACUGAAUGGCAUCAUUCGGUAUUGAAAACUCCGGUGGAUAGAGAUGGGCACGCGCAAGAUUAGAUAGUUGGUGAGGUAACGGCUCACCAAGUCUACGAUCUUUAGGGGGCCUGAGAGGGUGAUCCCCCACACUGGUACUGAGACACGGACCAGACUCCUACGGGAGGCAGCAGUGAGGAAUAUUGGACAAUGGGUGAGAGCCUGAUCCAGCCAUCCCGCGUGAAGGACGACGGCCCUAUGGGUUGUAAACUUCUUUUGUAUAGGGAUAAACCUACCCUCGUGAGGGUAGCUGAAGGUACUAUACGAAUAAGCACCGGCUAACUCCGUGCCAGCAGCCGCGGUAAUACGGAGGGUGCAAGCGUUAUCCGGAUUUAUUGGGUUUAAAGGGUCCGUAGGCGGAUCUGUAAGUCAGUGGUGAAAUCUCACAGCUUAACUGUGAAACUGCCAUUGAUACUGCAGGUCUUGAGUGUUGUUGAAGUAGCUGGAAUAAGUAGUGUAGCGGUGAAAUGCAUAGAUAUUACUUAGAACACCAAUUGCGAAGGCAGGUUACUAAGCAACAACUGACGCUGAUGGACGAAAGCGUGGGGAGCGAACAGGAUUAGAUACCCUGGUAGUCCACGCCGUAAACGAUGCUAACUCGUUUUUGGAAUGUAAGUUUCAGAGACUAAGCGAAAGUGAUAAGUUAGCCACCUGGGGAGUACGAACGCAAGUUUGAAACUCAAAGGAAUUGACGGGGGCCCGCACAAGCGGUGGAUUAUGUGGUUUAAUUCGAUGAUACGCGAGGAACCUUACCAAGGCUUAAAUGGGAAAUGACAGGUUUAGAAAUAGACUUUUCUUCGGACAUUUUUCAAGGUGCUGCAUGGUUGUCGUCAGCUCGUGCCGUGAGGUGUUAGGUUAAGUCCUGCAACGAGCGCAACCCCUGUCACUAGUUGCCAUCAUUAAGUUGGGGACUCUAGUGAGACUGCCUACGCAAGUAGAGAGGAAGGUGGGGAUGACGUCAAAUCAUCACGGCCCUUACGCCUUGGGCCACACACGUAAUACAAUGGCCGGUACAGAGGGCAGCUACACUGCGAAGUGAUGCAAAUCUCGAAAGCCGGUCUCAGUUCGGAUUGGAGUCUGCAACUCGACUCUAUGAAGCUGGAAUCGCUAGUAAUCGCGCAUCAGCCAUGGCGCGGUGAAUACGUUCCCGGGCCUUGUACACACCACCGGUCAAGCCAUGGAAGUCUGGGGUACCUGAAGUCGGUGACCGUAACAGGAGC
rnacentral:rRNA from 1 species